GUUACUUUGGGGGCCCUCCAGGGAACAGGGUAUAACAGAUUGGGAACCAGUGUUCCGUGCUUCCUCCCCCAAGUUGGGAAAUUCCUUUUUGGAAAUGAUUUGCCUUUUUACUCAGUCAGUUAAUGACACUAAAAGUUAAUGUAAAACAGCAGACCUUCCCGUUCUGCAACUUCCAUAAUGAAGCCACCGCCCUGGUGAAUACAGUGUCACCAACCUUACCAAGUGCAGAGCUCCUGUUUCAAAAAGAACCUGACCCUCCUGCAUUCCCAAGGGGACCGGCUCUGGAGAGAGGAAACCUGGACCAGAAGCAGAAUGACAUGCAGCACACCGGAGCUUCUGAAGAUCUUCACUGUAAGCGCAUAGAGAAUUUCAGCUCCACGAACCUUUAUUCUGCCCUGUGUGGAAGGACUACAGGUUGCUGUCACCUGUAA
ensembl:lincRNA